rnacentral:rRNA from 1 species
UGGCGGCUUGCUUAACCCAUCCAAGUUGAACGUUUUAUGGUGAGAAAGUCCUUUGGGUUAUGAUUUCCCAUAGCCAUUAGCGAACGGGGGAAUUAACGCGUGAGGACCUGCCCCUAGAGGGGGGCCACCAGUUGAAAACCGGCUGGUGUUACCCCGUAUGCCGGGAGUUGAAAAGGGCUUUUAUGGUCUCCCCUUUGGAUGGACUCACGUCCUAUCAGCUAGUUGGUGAGGUAACGGCUCACCAAGGCGACGACGGGUAGCCGGCCUGAGAGGGUGUCCGGCCACACUGGAACUGAGACACGGUCCAGACUCCUACGGGAGGCAGCAGUGGGGAAUUUUGGGCAAUGGGGGAGACCCUGACCCAGCGACGCCGCGUGAGGGAAGAGGGCCUUAGGGUCGUAAACUUCUUUUGCAUGGGAAGAUAAUGACGGUACUGUGCGAAUAAGUCCCGGCUAACUACGUGCCAGCAGCCGCGGUAACACGUAGGGGACGAGCGUUGUCCGGAAUUACUGGGCGUAAAGGGCGCGCAGGCUGUGCGCCGAGUCGGCUGUUGAAAGGCGGGGCUCAACCCUGUCAAGCGGUCGAGACCGGCGUGCUGGAGAGCUGCAGAGGCAAGCGGAAUUCCCGGUGUAGCGGUGAAAUGCGUAGGUAUCGGGAGGAACAUCGGUGGCGAAGGCGGCUUGCUGGGCAGUGACUGACGCUGAGGCGCGAGAGCCAGGGUAGCGAACGGGAUUAGAUACCCCGGUAGUCCUGGCCGUAAACGAUGAAUGAUAGGUGUGCGUGCAGCGAUGCAUACGUGCCGCAGUUAGCGCGAUAAG